GGGGUUGUAGUUAAGAAUAACAUUUAUUUUGCAAUUAAAAAUUACUGGAAACAGUCUUCCUCA
rnacentral:tRNA from 1 species